rnacentral:rRNA from 1 species
UAGUCAUAUGCUUGUCUCAAAGAUUAAGCCAUGCAUGUCUAAGUAUAAGCAAUCUAUACAGUGAAACUGCGAAUGGCUCAUUAAAUCAGUUAUCGUUUAUUUGAUAAUACUUUACUACUUGGAUAACCGUGGUAAUUCUAGAGCUAAUACAUGCUAAAAAUCCCUACCUCUGGCGGGGAUGUAUUUAUUAGAUAAAAAACCAAUGUCUUCGGACUCUUUGGUGAUUCAUAAUAACUUUUCGAAUCGCAUGGCCUUGCGCUGGCGAUGGUUCAUUCAAA